CAAAAACAUCGCCUCCCGCAAAACUGCUAUAUAUGGGAGGUCCCACCUGCCCAGUGACAAUGUUUAACGGCCGCGGAACCCAACCGUGCGAAGGUAGCGCAAUCACUUGUCUUUUAAAUAAAGACCCGUAUGAACGGUCAAACGAGGACUUAACUGUCUCCCUUUUCCAGUCAAUGAAAUUGAUCUGCCCGUGCAGAAGCGGACAUCACCAUACAAGACGAGAAGACCCUUUGGAGCUUAAGACAGAACAUCACCUAUGUUUACAACAGUAAAACCAUAAUAGCAUCUGAUGGGAGUCUUCGGUUGGGGCGACCGCGGAAUAAAAUAAAACUUCCGCAAGGACUAAAGAAACCCUUUAAAACUAAGAAAGACAUUUCCAAGUCGCAGAAUUUCUGACCACAAAGAUCCGGCUACGCCGAUCAACGAACCAAGUUACCCCAGGGAUAACAGCGCAAUCCCCUCUAAGAGUUCUUAUCGUCAAGGGGGUUUACGACCUCGAUGUUGGAUCAGGACAUCCUAAUGGUGCAGCAGCUAUUAAGGGUUC
rnacentral:rRNA from 1 species